rnacentral:sRNA from 1 species
GGUCAGAAGGAGCCCUAACAGAGCCCUCCUUGGGUUUCCAGGAGGUGAGUUCCCAGAGAGCUGGGUUCAGUGUAAGGGUAUGGCUGAGCAGCCCUUUGCUAAGGAGAUUAGGCAUAUGACUCAUGGAUC